AUCUAAGUACCCCGAGGAAAAGAAAUCAACCGAGAUUCCCCCAGUAGCGGCGAGCGAACGGGGAGGAGCCCAGAGCCUGAAUCAGCAUGUGUGUUAGUGGAAGCGUCUGGAAAGGCGCGCGAUACAGGGUGACAGCCCCGUACACAAAAGCGCAUGUGCUGUGAGCUCGAUGAGUAGGGCGGGACACGUGGUAUCCUGUCUGAAUAUGGGGGGACCAUCCUCCAAGGCUAAAUACUCCUGACUGACCGAUAGUGAACCAGUACCGUGAGGGAAAGGCGAAAAGAACCCCGGCGAGGGGAGUGAAAAAGAACCUGAAACCGUGUACGUACAAGCAGUGGGAGCACAGGUUUACCUGUGUGACUGCGUACCUUUUGUAUAAUGGGUCAGCGACUUAUAUUCUGUAGCAAGGUUAACCGUAUAGGGGAGCCGGAGGGAAACCGAGUCUUAAUUGGGCGUUAAGUUGCAGGGUAUAGACCCGAAACCCGGUGAUCUAGCCAUGGGCAGGUUGAAGGUUGGGUAACACUAACUGGAGGACCGAACCGACUAAUGUUGAAAAAUUAGCGGAUGACCUGUGGCUGGGGGUGAAAGGCCAAUCAAACCGGGAGAUAGCUGGUUCUCCCCGAAAGCUAUUUAGGUAGCGCCUCGUGAAUUCAUCUCCGGGGGUAGAGCACUGUUUCGGCUAGGGGGCCAUCCCGGCUUACCAACCCGAUGCAAACUGCGAAUACCGGAGAAUGUUAUCACGGGAGACACACGGCGGGUGCUAACGUCCGUCGUGAAGAGGGAAACAACCCAGACCGC
rnacentral:rRNA from 1 species